rnacentral:misc_RNA from 1 species
UGAUCGCGUUAGGGAUAGGAGGGAAAAGCCCGCAUUCGCCCUGAGGCGAAGCGGACUUGCAACGGAUAGCCCGACCUCGU